GAUGAACGCUAGCGGCAGGCUUAAUACAUGCAAGUCGAGGGGCAGCAGGACUGUAGCAAUACAGUUGCUGGCGACCGGCAAACGGGUGCGGAACACGUACGCAACCUACCCAAAACUGGGGGAUAGCCCGGGGAAACCCGGAUUAAUACCUCGUAACCUUUUUAAGUGGCAUCACUUGAUAAGUAUAGCUCCGGCGGUUUUGGAUGGGCGUGCGCCUGAUUAGGUAGUUGGUGCGGGUAACGGCCCACCAAGCCUGCGAUCAGUAACUGGUGUGAGAGCACGACCAGUCACACGGGCACUGAGACACGGGCCCGACUCCUACGGGAGGCAGCAGUAAGGAAUAUUGGUCAAUGGACACAAGUCUGAACCAGCCAUGCCGCGUGAAGGAUGAAGGUCCUCUGGAUUGUAAACUUCUUUUAUGGGGGACGAAACCCGGAUAUUCUUAUCCGAUUGACGGUACCUCAGGAAUAAGCACCGGCUAACUCCGUG
rnacentral:rRNA from 1 species